UGUCUGCUUUGGACAUAGAAGUGUGGCA
rnacentral:piRNA from 1 species